rnacentral:pre_miRNA from 1 species
CAAAUACUCCCUCCGUCCGGAAAUACUUGUCAUCAAAAUGGAUAAAAGGAAAUGUAUCUAGACGUAUUUUAGUUUUAGAUACAUAUAUUUUAUCCAUUUUGAUGACAAGUAUUUUCGGACGGAGGGAGUAGAAA